rnacentral:rRNA from 1 species
AAACCUGCCCAGAAGCGGGGGAUAACACCUGGAAACAGAUGCUAAUACCGCAUAACAACUUGGACCGCAUGGUCCGAGYUUGAAAGAUGGCUUCGGCUAUCACUUUUGGAUGGUCCCGCGGCGUAUUAGCUAGAUGGUGGGGUAACGGCUCACCAUGGCAAUGAUACGUAGCCGACCUGAGAGGGUAAUCGGCCACAUUGGGACUGAGACACGGCCCAAACUCCUACGGGAGGCAGCAGUAGGGAAUCUUCCACAAUGGACGAAAGUCUGAUGGAGCAACGCCGCGUGAGUGAAGAAGGGUUUCGGCUCGUAAAACUCUGUUGUUAAAGAAGAACAUAUCUGAGAGUAACUGUUCAGGUAUUGACGGUAUUUAACCAGAAAGCCACGGCUAACUACGUGCCAGCAGCCGCGGUAAUACGUAGGUGGCAAGCGUUGUCCGGAUUUAUUGGGCGUAAAGCGAGCGCAGGCGGUUUUUUAAGUCUGAUGUGAAAGCCUUCGGCUCAACCGAAGAAGUGCAUCGGAAACUGGGAAACUUGAGUGCAGAAGAGGACAGUGGAACUCCAUGUGUAGCGGUGAAAUGCGUAGAUAUAUGGAAGAACACCAGUGGCGAARGCGGCUGUCUGGUCUGUAACUGACGCUGAGGCUCGAAAGUAUGGGUAGCAAACAGGAUUAGAUACCCUGGUAGUCCAUACCGUAAACGAUGAAUGCUAAGUGUUGGAGGGUUUCCGCCCUUCAGUGCUGCAGCUAACGCAUUAAGCAUUCCGCCUGGGGAGUACGGCCGCAAGGCUGAAACUCAAAGGAAUUGACGGGGGCCCGCACAAGCGGUGGAGCAUGUGGUUUAAUUCGAAGCUACGCGAAGAACCUUACCAGGUCUUGACAUACUAUGCAAAUCUAAGAGAUUAGACGUUCCCUUCGGGGACAUGGAUACAGGUGGUGCAUGGUUGUCGUCAGCUCGUGUCGUGAGAUGUUGGGUUAAGUCCCGCAACGAGCGCAACCCUUAUUAUCAGUUGCCAGCAUUAAGUUGGGCACUCUGGUGAGACUGCCGGUGACAAACCGGAGGAAGGUGGGGAUGACGUCAAAUCAUCAUGCCCCUUAUGACCUGGGCUACACACGUGCUACAAUGGAUGGUACAACGAGUUGCGAACUCGCGAGAGUAAGCUAAUCUCUUAAAGCCAUUCUCAGUUCGGAUUGUAGGCUGCAACUCGCCUACAUGAAGUCGGAAUCGCUAGUAAUCGCGGAUCAGCAUGCCGCGGUGAAUACGUUCCCGGGCCUUGUACACACCGCCCGUCACACCAUGAGAGUUUGUAACACCCAAAGUCGGUGGGGUAACCUUUUA